rnacentral:misc_RNA from 1 species
UGUAGGAGUGAGCCUGCUCGCGAUAACGGUCUUUCAGCUGAAUAUCUUUGAUAGACAGACCGCUAUCGCGAGCAGGCUCACUCCUACA